UGGGGAAUAUUGCACAAUGGGGGAAACCCUGAUGCAGCGACGCCGCGUGAGCGAAGAAGGUUUUCGAAUCGUAAAGCUCUGUCCUAUGAGAAGAUAAUGACGGUAUCAUAGGAGGAAGCCCCGGCUAAAUACGUGCCAGCAGCCGCGGUAAUACGUAUGGGGCGAGCGUUGUCCGGAAUUAUUGGGCGUAAAGGGUACGUAGGCGGUCUAUUAAGUCAGGUGUGAAAGCGUGAGGCUUAACCUCAUUAAGCACUUGAAACUGAUAGACUGGAGUGAAGGAGAGGAAAGUGGAAUUCCUAGUGUAGCGGUGAAAUGCGUAGAUAUUAGGAGGAAUACCGGUGGCGAAGGCGACUUUCUGGACUUUUACUGACGCUCAGGUACGAAAGCGUGGGGAGCAAACAGG
rnacentral:rRNA from 1 species